rnacentral:rRNA from 1 species
GCAACCCUGAUCUAGCCAUGCCGCGUGUUUGAUGAAGGCCCUAGGGUCGUAAAGCACUUUCGCCAGAGAUGAUAAUGACAGUAUCUGGUAAAGAAACCCCGGCUAACUCCGUGCCAGCAGCCGCGGUAAUACGGAGGGGGUUAGCGUUGUUCGGAAUUACUGGGCGUAAAGCGCACGUAGGCGGAUUAGUAAGUUAGAGGUGAAAUCCCAGGGCUCAACCCUGGAACUGCCUUUAAUACUGCUAGUCUUGAGUUCGAGAGAGGUAAGUGGAAUUCCGAGUGUAGAGGUGAAAUUCGUAGAUAUUCGGAGGAACACCAGUGGCGAAGGCGGCUUACUGGCUCGAUACUGACGCUGAGGUGCGAAAGUGUGGGGAGCAAACAGGAUUAGAUACCCUGGUAGUCCACACCGUAAACGAUGAAUGCCAGACGUCAGCAAGUAUACUUGUUGGUGUCACACCUAACGGAUUAAGCAUUCCGCCUGGGGAGUACGGGCAGAAGUAAUAAAACUCAAAGAAAUUGACGGGCCACCACCGGGGCUUU